rnacentral:lncRNA from 1 species
AUCAAACUUUAUAACAACAAGUUAACUCUAAUCAUGCUAAUUUGUGUUAUCAACAAAACUAAAAGCCAUAACUACCUCACUUCCCAUCAUAACCCUAACUAAUUCAAGUUCAACUAACAACAACCAAUUAUAAUACAACAAAAUUACAUUGACAAUUAACUCGCCAUCAAGUUUCACUAACUGAUUGCACCUUCAAAUUAACACUAAAUGAAUUACUUCAACACCAUAAC